CCUGCUAUAGCUCUGAAUGUGAUGUACUGGUACACUAUAUUAACCUGCACCAGUGGUUCCUAAAUUCAGAGCUAAACCUGUUAGAGCCUAUGAGGACUAAGAUGUUUGCCAUAGCUACAAACGGAUCUACAGCCACCAUCCCAGUAUAAUUAUGUGUGCAAGAAGCCAUGCAGUAAUUGAUGGACAACCAUGCAGGUCAUCAAUGAAUCUAGGAAGAUGCUAGCACAUAAACAAGAACUCAGGCCAGUCAGAUAGUCAGUAGAAAGGAAAUGCAUUCUGCACGGCUUUGCUAAACACAGCGCAGAAGACUUCCAGGAGGGGUCAGCAUUGUACUUGCCCUCACCUUGCAGACUGUGAGUGUCUCAGCUGGAGGGCUGAGUCACUGAAAACCCAUCUGAAAAGAGAAACUGCCAGCAGAGAGCACCACAAAAGCAGAGAGUGCAGGAACAUACCUGGCCAGUAGGAGGCACUUACAAGAGGGAUUGCAAAGGAACCUAAACCUGAUGGGAAUGUGACUGAGCUCCACUGCUGUGAAUUACUCUGUCAAAAAAGGCUAUAAGUGGAGUGAAUCUUUUCUUCUCAUUCUCGCUGGGCUUUGGAUUAAUGGAGUGAGACUUCAAUUUCUGAUUAGUGACCUUAAUAACAUUUCCUACGUGUUCUUCAAACAUCUGAGAUGGAUUGACCUAUACUCCUAAAUACGCUGUAAAUUCUGCUCGUCAUGGCUCAUAAGCUGAGGAGACUACAGCAACAAGGAGUCUCGAAGCUGUUAGGAGGCUAGAAAAUAUAUCUUUAUAACUGCUGGGAGAGAGAACAACAGCACCACAGUUUGUCUCUUUAUUCUAUACAUUUGUAAUCAACAAGAACUGUAGUCCAAACAGUGAUAUUAAUAUGUCAGAAUAAAAGAAUGUCUAAUGAAUCUAGCAAACACCCAAGAGAAUAGCAAUGUUACAAUUUGGCUUAGUAUCCCUCUGUACAGACACCCCCAGACUGUUGUGAAUGGACCCAGUCACAGGGUUCCACAUUCAGCUUCCAAUUCAGCUGAGUCUGGGUAUAGUUUAAUCCAGACAUCCUAGGCCCUGAAACCAAAGCCUCAGAUUUCCUGAGCCCAAG